UACGAGGGGGGCGAGCGUUGUUCGGAAUUAUUGGGCGUAAAGCGCACGUAGGCGGCUUCGCAAGUCGGAUGUGAAAUCCCUCGGCUCAACCGAGGACGUGCAUCCGAAACUGCGAAGCUUGAGUACUGAAGAGGAUCGCGGAAUUCCCGGUGUAGAGGUGAAAUUCGUAGAUAUCGGGAGGAACACCCGUAGCGAAGGCGGCACUCUGGGCCGGAACUGACGCUGAGGAGCGAAAGCGUGGGGAGCAAACAGG
rnacentral:rRNA from 1 species